UCUCCUGGAAACGGGUGGUAAUGCCGGAUGCUCCGACUCCUCGCAUGGGGUGUCGGGAAAGAUUUCAUCGGUAUGGGAUGGGGUCGCGUCCUAUCAGGUAGUCGGCGGGGUAACGGCCCACCGAGCCUACGACGGGUAGCCGGCCUGAGAGGGCGACCGGCCACAUUGGGACUGAGAUACGGCCCAGACUCCUACGGGAGGCAGCAGUGGGGAAUAUUGCACAAUGGGCGCAAGCCUGAUGCAGCGACGCCGCGUGCGGGAUGACGGCCUUCGGGUUGUAAACCGCUUUUGAUCGGGAGCAAGCCUUCGGGUGAGUGUACCUUUCGAAUAAGCACCGGCUAACUACGUGCCAGCAGCCGCGGUAAUACGUAGGGUGCAAGCGUUAUCCGGAAUUAUUGGGCGUAAAGGGCUCGUAGGCGGUUCGUCGCGUCCGGUGUGAAAGUCCAUCGCUUAACGGUGGAUCUGCGCCGGGUACGGGCGGGCUGGAGUGCGGUAGGGGAGACUGGAAUUCCCGGUGUAACGGUGGAAUGUGUAGAUAUCGGAAAGAACACCAAC
rnacentral:rRNA from 1 species